rnacentral:snoRNA from 1 species
AUGCAUCUCUUUCAGACCUAGAACAGUUAAUGUCUGCUGCUAGGGUUUCCACUACAGAUGCAAGAAAAAGGAGGUCCUUGCAUGGUCUCUUUGGUUGUGACAGCCAAGACUGAAUAGGGUAUACAGGA